CCUGGUAUUAGUGAGAGGAAGAAAUCCGCCUAUACUAGUGUAGAUCAGCGGUUCCAACCAGGCGUACUAGGACCCCUGGGGGAUACAUGGCCGGAUACAUGGCCUAUCCACAGGGGGUACUUGAGAAGACUCAUGAGACCAUAGACCUACUGGUAAAAUGCACAAGAGGGUACUUCAGUGGUACUCCGGGCAGAGCAACAUUCAGUUGGUUGUACAGUAACUGAUAAAGGACCGUGAUGUGGGCCCAUGACAGUGCAGCCUCCUCUCCAGCCCACAGGAACAGGCAGGCGUGAAAUGGAAGUCUGGACCCCCAUGCCCCUGUGCUUGGGGGGGAAGGGGGGGGCUCUGUCCCUGCCUCACAGACUGCCAGUCAACCCCUGGUUCCUGACCACCCAUUCGCUCAUACCACCCCACCAUCAUGGCAGGCAGGCCUGUGGACACAUGGCCAGUGAGGAUUAGUGGAGCACAAGUGAAGACAAAUUUACCCAGCCACACGCCACAAAGGCCUCGUUAGCACAUGAAGGGGAGGCAAGCGGGGGGGUCAACAUCAGAGAGCAGCUUCCCAGCUACCAACACUAUUCCAACGCCCAGCUCUCUGAACCAAGAACUAAAGAAAAAACGCCAAUCCUAUCCUCCCCCUUCCUGUCCACCUCUUGCAAUGGUAGCGUGGCUAGAAGUUCAAUAAUUAAGAAGCUGAAAACAGAUGUGAAAACACUACAAAGAUGCCAGAUUCCAGGUAUAAACAUAUAUCUAAAUUAAAUCACCAACUAUUCAUUUCAAAUAAAUAUUUUCCCUUCCACAUGAAGUCAAAAUCAGCGAAUUACAGUAAAAGCCCUUUGUAACUUGACCACAGGAUCUGAGUGCAGACCAUGGAACAGCCUUCAGCAUUCAACCCUCUGUGUGUGAGGGAGGGAGGGACAGCCGCUGUUUGAGGCCCUACACUUUGGGUUCUUUCUUCUCCCUGUCUGAUGAGACACCAGAUUUCUCAAUAAAACUGCAGUAACUCGA